GGGGGCAUACGGGAGUAGAGGAGUAGCCAGGCGCGCUAGAUUCAGGUUCUAGUGGGGGCAACUUCGUGGAGGUUAAAGUCCUCUUGCCCGCACCA
rnacentral:tRNA from 1 species